rnacentral:lncRNA from 1 species
CCCCUCCCUUUUCCCCCCAGGUUUCCUUUUAUAGGAGGAUUUUUGUUACCUGGGAGGUGACAGGAGGUUUGUCCUGUUUUGUAAUAAUUGGGCACGAUUUGGCCCAUUAAUGGCGUGGUGGAAAAUAAGGCCGAAUCAGACCGGAACUAGGGAGUUGUCACGGUCGAUCGGACCUGUUGGGGUGGUUGAACCGCCGGCCGUGGUGGGCCUGGGGUCCGUGGAUGGUAAGUGCAUUUAUUACCGAGUGAACCGGCGGUCAGGGAGAGCCAUACGCUCUGAUAGUUCAGUGAUCCGGAGAUCGUCUUGGG